rnacentral:rRNA from 1 species
AACGAACGCUGGCGGCAUGCCUAACACAUGCAAGUCGAACGAGACCUUCGGGUCUAGUGGCGCACGGGUGCGUAACGCGUGGGAACCUGCCCUUAGGUUCGGAAUAACUCCCCGAAAGGGGUGCUAAUACCGGAUAAUGUCUUCGGACCAAAGAUUUAUCGACUUUGGAUGGGCCCGCGUUGGAUUAGCUAGUUGGGAGGGUAAAAGCCUACCAAGGCGACGAUCCAUAGCUGGUCUGAGAGGAUGAUCAGCCACACUGGGACUGAGACACGGCCCAGACUCCUACGGGAGGCAGCAGUGGGGAAUAUUGGACAAUGGGCGAAAGCCUGAUCCAGCAAUGCCGCGUGAGUGAUGAAGGCCUUAGGGUUGUAAAGCUCUUUUACCCGGGAUGAUAAUGACAGUACCGGGAGAAUAAGCUCCGGCUAACUCCGUG